UACGUAGGGUGCAAGCGUUAAUCGGAAUUACUGGGCGUAAAGCGUGCGCAGGCGGUGAUGUAAGACAGAUGUGAAAUCCCCGGGCUCAACUUGGGAACUGCAUUUGUGACUGCAUCGCUGGAGUGCGGCAGAGGGGGAUGGAACUCCGCGUGUAGCAGUGAAAUGCGUAGAUAUGCGGAGGAACACCGAUGGCGAAGGCAAUCCCCUGGGCCUGCACUGACGCUCAUGCACGAAAGCGUGGGGAGCAAACAGG
rnacentral:rRNA from 1 species